GAUGAACGCUGGCGGCGUGCCUAAUACAUGCAAGUCGAGCGAACAGAUAAGGAGCUUGCUCCUUUGACGUUAGCGGCGGACGGGUGAGUAACACGUGGGUAACCUACCUAUAAGACUGGAAUAACUCCGGGAAACCGGGGCUAAUGCCGGAUAACAUUUAGAACCGCAUGGUUCUAAAGUGAAAGAUGGUUUUGCUAUCACUUAUAGAUGGACCCGCGCCGUAUUAGCUAGUUGGUAAGGUAACGGCUUACCAAGGCAACGAUACGUAGCCGACCUGAGAGGGUGAUCGGCCACACUGGAACUGAGACACGGUCCAGACUCCUACGGGAGGCAGCAGUAGGGAAUCUUCCGCAAUGGGCGAAAGCCUGACGGAGCAACGCCGCGUGAGUGAUGGAGGUCUUCGGAUCGUAAAACUCUGUUAUUAGGGAAGAACAAAUGUGUAAGUAACUGUGCACGUCUUGACGGUACCUAAUCAGAAAGCCACGGCUAACUACGUG
rnacentral:rRNA from 1 species